CUCAGCUGUCCUCACCUGAUUUGAACAUGCAGUGGAAGUCUGUCCUCAGAAUUUAUUUAUGUGGAACACAAAACAAGAAAUUUUGAAGAAUGUUCAUGAUGCUCUUUUCUGUCAAAUGGAUACACCCAGAAGUGUGCUUCAUGGAUUGCAAUUACAGAUCCACAUCCACCCAGCAGGGCCUUCGGUGACGGCGAGGCAAGCUAUUUUUAGGCCAAUGACGCAGGUGUCUCAUAUCACCACCUGCUCAGAACACUGAUGAGGGCUCCCUCUUCCGUGCUGCCUGGCGACGGGGGAUGCUGUUGCCAGGGGAACUGAAAUUGGUUGACAUCACACACUAUCAGGACCUCCCCUAUUGAAAUGGUAUGUAGUUCGUCUCUCUGAUCACAUACACAUUAAUCUAUGAUGACUAACCCCCGCUGCUGUUGCCCCCAAGACCGAUCAACAGCUUGCGAGCUGUGAGUCAUCCACAAAUGCCACGCAGCAGAGAAUCGUGCGUAGCAGCCUUUCUUUUCAUCCUCUGUGUAGCCAAAUAAAUCUAGUCUGAACAGAUGUUUGGAUGUUUUUAGGCAGUUCACACAAACAUACUGUUACAGUAAUCAUUAUUAUAUAAUUGGGAAUUAAGAUGUAAUUCUUCAUUCACCAAUGAAUAAUGAGACAUGACUUCAGAUUUAGGGCAGUCCCAGUAGUAAUAAGCUAUGUGGUAACACAGUAUUUGAAGUUUUAACAUCAGUACAAGUUGAUGUUGAUCUUUUUUUUUUUUUUUUUUAUAAAUGUGCGAGUCUGAUUUGGUUCCCUAAACAUCCCACGUUCAGAUGCUUACUCCUGAUUUAUGGGGUUUGUGGUUUUCUCUUUUUCUUCCUUUCUCAUUUGGGAGCAGUGAAGAAAAAGCCUGUUCUUUUGCUUUGCUUAGUUAUGCUGCUGAAACAUGUCAAAUUUAUUUUAUUGUAUAAAAAGCUAAUUCAGUUCUUGGCUCAUAUAAUAAAAAAUGAAUGAUAAAGAUGUAAAUGUAUCUAUAAUAAAAAUAAAAUUUAAAACAUUUAUAUUUAAUGGCAAUUUGCCAUAUAAAAUUUACCAAACAAGACACACACACACAUACAGUAGUGGCCAAAAGUGAUGUCUGGAGGGGAUAUUUGUUGUUUUCUAAUGACUCUACUACAAGAUCAAUUAAUCCACCAGAAUAUAUUUUAUGUAUAUAUUUGUAAUAUUUUAACUAUGAGGGAAGAACAAAACACUAAACUUGGUUAAGGUAAUUAUCUGACAAAAUUACUUGGCAAA